rnacentral:rRNA from 1 species
GAUGAACGCUGGCGGCGUGCUUAACACAUGCAAGUCGAACGGUGAACACGGAGCUUGCUCUGUGGGAUCAGUGGCGAACGGGUGAGUAACACGUGAGCAACCUGCCCCUGACUCUGGGAUAAGCGCUGGAAACGGCGUCUAAUACUGGAUACGAGUAGCGGCCGCAUGGUCAGUUACUGGAAAGAUUUUUUGGUUGGGGAUGGGCUCGCGGCCUAUCAGCUUGUUGGUGGGGUAAUGGCUCACCAAGGCGUCGACGGGUAGCCGGCCUGAGAGGGUGACCGGCCAAACUGGGCCUGAGACACGGCCCAGACUCCUACGGGAGGCAGCAGUGGGGAAUAUUGCACAAUGGGCGAAAGCCUGAUGCAGCAACGCCGCGUGAGGGAUGACGGCCUUCGGGUUGUAAACCUCUUUUAGCAGGGAAGAAGCGAAAGUGACGGUACCUGCAGAAAAAGCGCCGGCUAACUACGUGCCAGCCGCCGCCGUAA